rnacentral:rRNA from 1 species
GUUCGUAAAAUACAAAUAAUUCUAGUUUAAUUCCUUUUAAAACUUUCAACAACGGAUCUCUUGGUUCUCGCAUCGAUGAAGAACGCAGCGAAAUGCGAUACGUAAUACGAAUUGCAGCUCUCGGAAUCAUUGAAUUUUUGAACGCACAUUGCACCACUGGGUAUUCCCAGUGGUAUGUUUGUUUGAGCGGUGUCUUCUCUCGUUUCUACGGUGUUGUCACUAAAGUUAAACUAGUAUUAUCCAAUCUAAUACUCCUUUUUCUCCCUCAAAUCAAAUAGGACUACCCGCUGAACUUAAGCAUAUCAAUAAGCGGAGGAAAAGAAACCAACAGGGAUUGCCUCAGUAACGGCGAGUGAAGCGGCAAAAGCUCAAAUUUGAAACCGUUCGCGGGUUGUAAUUUGAAGAUUGUGUUUUGGGAGUGCCCACGCCUAUGUUCCUUGGAACAGGACGUCACAGAGGGUGAGAAUCCCGUGCGGCGUGGUCUCCACUCCUCUAUAAAACACUCUCGACGAGUCGAGUUGUUUGGGAAUGCAGCUCAAAGUGGGUGGUAAAUUCCAUCUAAAGCUGAAUAUUGGCGAGAGACCGAUAGCGAACAAGUACAGUGAUGGAAAGAUGAAAAGCACUUUGAAAAGAGAGUGAAACAGUACGUGAAAUUGUUGAAAGGGAAGGGUAUGAUGGUAGAUUGGGAGGGGGGA